AACGAACGCUGGCGGCAGGCCUAACACAUGCAAGUCGAACGGACGUAGCAAUACGUUAGUGGCAGACGGGUGAGGAACACGUGGGAACAUGCCCUUUGGUUCGGAAUAACUCAGGGAAACUUGAGCUAAUACCGGAUAAGCCCUUAUGGGGAAAGAUUUAUCGCCGAAGGAUUGGCCCGCGUCCGAUUAGCUAGUUGGUGAGGUAAUGGCUCACCAAGGCGACGAUCGGUAGCUGGUCUGAGAGGAUGAUCAGCCACAUUGGGACUGAGACACGGCCCAAACUCCUACGGGAGGCAGCAGUGGGGAAUAUUGGACAAUGGGCGCAAGCCUGAUCCAGCCAUGCCGCGUGAGUGAUGACGGCCCUAGGGUUGUAAAGCUCUUUCACCCACGACGAUAAUGACGGUAGUGGGAGAAGAAGCCCCGGCUAACUUCGUGCCAGCAGCCGCGGUAA
rnacentral:rRNA from 1 species